rnacentral:tRNA from 1 species
UAGGAAAAAGGCCUCAUAAGCCUUUGGUCGGGUGUUCAAAUCACCUCCCUGCUACCA